rnacentral:rRNA from 1 species
GUGGGGAAUAUUGGACAAUGGGCGAAAGCCUGAUCCAGCCAUGCCGCGUGUGUGAAGAAGGUCUUCGGAUUGUAAAGCACUUUAAGUUGGGAGGAAGGGCAGUAAGUUAAUACCUUGCUGUUUUGACGUUACCGACAGAAUAAGCACCGGCUAACUUCGUGCCAACAGCCGCGGUAAUACGAAGGGUGCAAGCGUUAAUCGGAAUUACUGGGCGUAAAGCGCGCGUAGGUGGUUUUGUAAGUUGGAGGUGAAAUCCCCGGGCUCAACCUGGGAACUGCCUCCCAAACUGCAUGACUAGAGGACGGUAGGGGGUAGUGGAAUUUCCUUUGUAGCGGUGAAAUGCGUAGAUAUAGGAAGGAACACCAGUGGCGAAGGCGGCUUCCUGGACUGAUACUGACACUGAGGUGCGAAAGCGUUGGGAGCAAACAGGAUUAGAAACCCUGGUAGUCC